rnacentral:rRNA from 1 species
AGUCGAACGGCAACACGGACUUCGGUCUGGUGGCGAGUGGCGAACGGGUGAGAGUAAUGUAUCAGACGGUACCUAAUGCCUUUGAGGAUAACUACGCGAAAGCCCAGCAGCUAAUACCGCAUACGCCCUUCGGGGAAAGCAGGGGGACGCUGGGCUCGCACUAUUACAGAGCGGCCGAUAUCGGAUUGGCCUAGUUGGUGGGGGUAACGGCUCGCAGAGGGCGACGAUCCGUAGCUGGUUUAGAGAGGACGACCAGCCACACUGGGACUGAGACACGGCCCAGACUCCUACGGGGAGAGCUGACAGGUGGGAAUUUCCGGACAAUGGGGAAACCUGAUCCAGCCAUCCCGCGUGUGCGAUGAAGGCCUUCGGGUUGUAAAGCACUUUUGGCAGGAAAAGAAACGGCACAGGAUAAUACCCCACACGGCGCAGCCCAAUGGUGCCUGCAGAAUAAGCACCGGCUAACUACGUGCCAGCAGCCGCGGGUAAUACGUAGGAGGUGCAAGCGUUAAUCGGAAUUACUGGGCGUAAAGCGUGCGCAGGCGGUUCGGGAAAGAAGAUGUGAAAUCCCAGGCUUAACUUUGAACUGCAUUUUUAACUACCGAGCUAGAGUGUGUCAGAGGAGGUGGAAUUCCGCCGAUAAUAACAGUGAAAUGCGUAGAUAUGCGGAGAAACACACCGAUGGCGAAGGCAGCCUCCUGGGAUAACACUGACGCUCCAUGCGAAAGCGUGGGAACAAGGCAGAGUUGGAGUACCCUGGUAGUCCACGCCCUAAACGAUGUCAACUAGCUGUUGGGGCCUUCGGGCCUUGUUAGCGCGGCGCUAACGUGAAGUUGACGCACGGAGUACAGUCGCAAGAUUAAAACUCAAAGGAAUUGACGGGAUUGCCGCAAGCCGGUGGAUGAUGUGGAUUAAUUCGAUGCAACGCGAAAAACCUUACUACCCUUGACGCAUGUCACGGAAUCCGAAGAGAUUUGGGAGUGCUCGCAAGAGAACCGGAACACAGGUGCUGCAUAUGUGGCUGUCGUCAGCUCGUGUAGUGAGAUGUUGGGUUAAGUCCGCAACGAGCGCAACCCUUGUCAUUAGUUGCUACGAAAGGGCACUCUAAUGAGACUGCCGGUGACAAACCGGAGGAAGGUGGGGAUGACGUCAAGUCCUCAUGGCCCUUAUGCAGGUGAGCUUCACACGAUAUACAAUGGUCGGGACAAGGGUCGUAACCACGCGAGGGGGCCUGUCCAAGAAACCCGAUCGUAGUCCGGAUCUGCUGAUCUGCAACUCGGCGCGGGUAGAGUCGGGGAUCGCUAGUAAUCGCGGAUCAGCAUGUCGCGGUGAAUACGUUCCCGGGUCUUGUACACACCGCCGUCACACCAUGGGAGUGGGUUUUACCAAGUGAGUUAGCCUAACCGUAAGGGCGAUUACCACGGUAAGGAUUCAUGACUGGGGUGAAGUCAUGCGCAAAGUAG